GGAGGUGAGUUCAGAGUCUGCCUAUGCUGCCAUCUUGAUGAGAUCUCUGGAGCCAUUUUAAAAUAGAGCUGGAGCAGCCAUUUCAGAGGAAGCGCCUGCACAUUUUACUCCUUGAAACUGUGGACUAUUUGAACUGGCUGGACCUUUAGACUGAACCAAACCAACAUUGUCUUCCAAACAACUGUUAGUAAAGCUAACAGGAAAGCAGACAUUCUGACCACAAAGACUGAUGAUUAUGGACUCUCUUUCCAAAGGUAGAAUUGGUAACCAGCCAUGUACAGCUAAAGAAUAGCCUAGCUUAUUAACACCUACAUAAGAUUAUUUUUCCUCUUCUCCUUCUUUUCAUGUAAUUACACUUCUCCUUUUCCCAUAAAAACCUUCCUCUUUUACUCUAUAACUGGGACACUAUUGGGUUUCUACCUGAAUCUUUGCUCCCUGAAUUGCAAUUCUUUGAUCUCAAAUAAAGUUUGCCUCUUAAACUGGUUUCUGUUUUUGUAGGUUGACACUUGUGAAUCUGCAAUUAUCUCAAUAACUAUUUCAAUUACAAAAAAAAAAAAAAAAAAUGGAAGGAGGAGAGCUUUGGGCCAAGGGAACCAAAGAGUCAAGAAACGUUGCUCACUUCCUGGAUUUAACAAAAACCUACGGGUCCUCUCUCCCAUGUGAACGUCCCUAUCAUAGGCACUUGGAAGCAGGAAUGGUGGCAAGUGUGGCUCUGUCUCUUCUUAAUAAGCAGGUACUUUGGUAGCAGGUUUCAAAGUGGGGUGAGAGGAGUGCAGAAGGGAUUUGAGAAGCUUUCCUGUGUGAUUCUGAUCCAUCAUUCUUCAAUGAAUCCACCAACUUAGUGGAAAAGAUGUUUAUGGAAUUCUGUUUCCAGCAUCAUUAAAGUCAUAUUCUGUAUAAAACAGGUGAAAGAAGCAUUACAAAUUAAACGAAAUCCAUUUAUAAUGAAAGGUUUUGACAGCAGCUAUCCAGGACAGCUUGGUUCUAAUUCUGGGUCAACCCCUAACUCACAGGAUCAUUAGGGAGACACUUUCAAUCUAUUAAUCUUAAUAAUCAUAAUAGCUAAUAUUAACUGAGUGGUUACUGUGUGCCAGGCUAUUGUGCUGAAGGUUUUAAAUACAUUAUCCUAUUUAUCUUCACAGUAGCCCCACGAAUCUGGAACUGUUCUUAUUAGCUACGGAUGAGGACACUCAUGACCUGCAGAGUUUAAGACAUUUGCCUGAGGUCACACAGUGUGAGGUGGUGGCACUGAUUCACUCCCUGCUCUGCCUGUGUUCAUAACCACUUCACUAACUCUUUCUUGGUUCUCAACCAUGAAAAGAGGAGAUUUGGCAAAGGGGUUUGUGUUCUCCAUGGCUCGAAUGGAUGCUGAGCCAGUUAGCUAAUUCCAACCUGAACUUAACAGGGGGCAGUCAAGAAACAAUUUAAGAACUACCAGUCUUGCCCUACAGGGAAGAAGAUAAGCCUGGGCAGGUUGAAGGAGUGAGAGGGUGAUGGAAUGAUUUUUCACCCUUCAAUGGGAUGUGACUUACUUAGGACUUCUGUUAGAUCCUGAUUGAAUGUGAAAAAUGAGCCCUUUCUCUCUAAAGUUAGGGUCUCUAAAGAGUCCUGUUGGUUGAAUGCAUAUGAUUUCCUGUCUCUUUUGAUUACCUAAAAUACAGGCAGUGGGAAGAUAAAAUAUUUGUGUGUUGGCUCAUUCAAGUUCACAUAAAGCAGACCAGGAAAAGCAGCUGGUAGAAAGGAAAUCAGGCCAAGAUGCACUAAAAGCCAAGGUGCAAGAGAGAUACCAAGAUCUGAUGUGAGAGAGAGGAGAGAGCAUACUGCUACACAGUAGCAGAAACAAAGACAAAAAUACUGCUGAGGUGUUUUCUUCUGCAUCCCAUAGCUCCUCAGGUUUAAGGAGACUUUUGGGUGGUUCUUGGUUCUCCUAUAUCUUCAUUGGCAUGACUUAACAAGAGGGCCACUCACAUGGAAUUGGGGUGAGGGAACACUGCCACCUAUAGUAGUUCCAUCAGCUGUGAGUGGCCAUUUAAAAUCCCCUCAGGCAUACAGUCCUUUCUUUGCUGGCUUCCCUUGAAGAGGCAGAACAGCAAAAUCUUUAAGAGCAAGAGUGAGCUUUGCAGCCAGACAGCCUCAGUUCGCAUCCCGGCUCCACCUCUUACUGGCUGCAUGACCUGGUGAGUUGUUCAACCUCUCUGCACUUCAGUUUCAUGAUCUGUAAAAUGGGGGUGGCACAUGUGCCCAGCCAUAGUAAUCACUCCAUAAACAUGAGCUCUGAGGGUUAUGAUGCUAAGAUGUCAGAGGAUAUCAUGAGACCCAAAAAGCUUCUUGAUGUUCCUCAAGCCAGAUUUGUGUCUGUCUUUGUGAUGAGGCUCUGGGACCUCCUGGAGCCUGAGAGUGGAGAAUGUGGGUUUCUCUCCUUAGUACUUUGGCUUUUCUUUUUGAGUCUCAGUUUCCUCACCUGUAAAAUGUGAAUAAUAAUGUCUGCCUCUGUUUGCCUCCUGACAUCUUGUGCAUCUCUUAAGAUAGUGUAUAUGUUAGCACAUUAAGGAGAAUAGGCACCAAAAGGCCUAGAAUGUUAAAAGAUGUUCUUGAGUAAAUGAUUACCAUUCUGAGACUGUUUCCUCAGCUGUGGAAUGUGAGUAGUAAUACCUACCUCCCAGAGUGAGGAUUAAGGUGAUAGAGUCCUGGGAACACAUUACCAGUCCAAAAUCUUCUGCCCCCUCCUUGCUGUCCCCUUGUGGUCAUGUUUCCUGGUUAAGGAAUCCUCAAUUUCUGGUUUGUGAGUGUGAGAGUGCCUCAGAGGGGCGUGGAGUGUGGUCUCAGGGUGAAGUAAACCUAUGACCAAUCUUUGUUCUAGCCACUCCAGCCAGUUUGAACCUGCCAGAUUCUGCUUAUUUCCUUCAUCCUGGAAUCAAAGCUGCGGGUUGGACUUCAGUUCCCCACCUCACCCCCAUCCGCUUUGUGAAUAAUGAGUUUUGCUUAGAGAUUUAACCUAGAGAAUGGGGGCAGGAAGGGACCUGGGAUCUUCCAUGAGCAUUUGGAGGCCAAAUGAUAUUCCUCUGAACCCUGGGCUUCUCUUAAGGCUCAUUUUUGCUGCAUCCCAACAGAACAUGUGCUUGCUCACAUUUCUAUUCCCAAAUGCCCGUAAUACAUCAGUUCUUGCGUGGACAAAUCAUCAAUACAGUAAAAAUAGCUGACUUCUGGUCAGUGCUUGUCGAUGCAGGCAAAGUCAGAUGGUGUAACCACCUUCCAUUUGGAAAGAACUUCCACAUAGUUCCACCCCCAUUUUUAGGUGGGGCACCUGAGGUCUGGAGGAGUCAAGAGGAGUGUCCAAAGUCACUCAGCUUUAGGUGGCUCUGCUGAAAUGUGCUCCCUGUGGGUUUUUUUUUAGGCCCUCAGCUUCCUCGAGACACUGGAAUCUCGCAUAGUCUGAUGAAACCCUCGUCCUAGUGGAUCAAGCAAGCACCUCUCAGCGGAUGGAAGAGUAUUUCAAGGUGUGAGGGCUUUCCUAAUCCCCUCCCAACCCCCAGGCGGGCUCCACCUUCUCCAUCAGGCGAGAUGCUGACCCUGUCGUGACAGUCUUGGUUGUGGUUGGAGGGCAGCAGGAGCUACUGCUCUGGAGGGGCUCCCCACUUGUGCAGUCACCUGAUUUCCUGCAGUGCAGUGUUAAGUUCACAGGCCCUAGGGUCAAAUCGAUCUGGGUUCAAAUUAUGCCUAAGCUACUUCCAGUGGUGUUACCUUGGGCAACGUACCCUCUAAGCCCAAAUUCCUCUGCUGUGAAAUGGCAUAAAAUGAGCACAUUCCUUAUAGGGACGUUUUGGACUUAUCCAGGCUGGCUACUUAAUUUUCAGGUUCCAGUACAAAACAGAAAUAUGGAGUUCCUUGUGCAAAGAAGCAAAAAUAAAGCUUUUUACCGUCUUCCACAGUCCUUCUCUUGGCCUGUCAUGGUGUUUUUUUAUUUGCUAUUGAAAGUUGUACUCCCUCAGGCACAGGUGAGCCCCCACCCCAAGACUAAGUGAACUGGGCCGUGCGAGAGCCGAGGCUCCAACCCCCAGCACGUUUCAUUGUCCCAUCUGACUUUGCUUAUGCAAGCUAAAUUCAAAGAUAAAAUUAUUAAGCUUUUCAAGAUGGUGACCACAGAGCAUUGAACUCUAAAGUGUAGGCCCUUCUGAGCGUGGGCCUUCUGUGAUUGUACCAGUUGCACCCCUGUGAAGCUGGACUGAAUGUGCUUGUAAGCCUUUAGCAUCGUCUCUGGCCCAGAGUAAGGGCUCAGUGACUGGUCAGUAGAGAGAGGCCCGGCUUUGUUCACAGGUCAACUUAGGAAUCCCAUAGCUCAAGCCUUCACUUGAACUCUGCAUCUGCAGCCUGGCUCAAGGGAGGGUCAGGAAAGGUGUUAUAAUCACCUUCGUGCAAAUGGAGAAACUAAGGCUGGAGAGGAGCUGGAGCUUGGCUAUGUUCACCCUGGAGUUAGUGAUAGAGGCAGAAGCAAACAGUGAUCUCUAGACUCUCAGUCAGUGCCAAGCAUCUCAAGUUCAGUGCCCACUCUGGGCCUCCUUAGGUCACCUGGGGAUUGUGAGUGGCAGCAGCUCCUGUCAGGAAACCAACCCCUCCCCAGGCCCUUACAUAGCUUUCCAAACCCUGCUCACUGCCAGCCUCCUCAAGAAAGACUUCCCUACCCAGGACCUCCCCAUGGAAGUUUUUCUUCUAUAUGUACAUUUGCCCAAAAGUCAAUCAUAUGGAAUAUAGUUUUAUUUCUUGUGCUUUUUAUGUUACCAAACAUUAUGAGCAUAUUUCUGGCUUAUUAAAUAUUUUUUAACCUUAUUUAUAAUAUCUCCAUAAAAUCCCAUUUUCAGGAAGCUCCAUAAUUUAUUUGACCAAUCCCCCUUUGGUAGACACUCAGGUUGUUUCCGAUUAUCUUUCAGUUACUGAAAGGCAAUGUAUCAGCUUCUAAACUGGGGAUAAUCAUAGUAUAUGGCUCAUAGGUUAUUGUGAGAAUUAAAUAAGUUAAUAUGAAAAUAACACUUAGGAAAUGAAACAAGUACUACACAUGUGUUAGCUAAUAUUAUUCUGUCAGCUCUGUUAUUUUGGUAAUGCUAGAGGUGAUACCAUGUUACACACAUCUUUGAACAUGUAAGUGAUUCUAAGGUGCAUUACUGGGUCUGAGGGGAGAGCAUGUUCAAGGCUGGCACCGAAUGUGUCCGUAGUGUAUGGAGGGUGUGCCUGAAGCUCACAAAGAUCAAGGGUGGGGGCGGAGAGGAACAGGAUGGCGUUGAGCCCCAGGCUUCGGCUGGAAACAUUUGUUAUGAUUUCACUGUGAUGCCUGAGGACAUUUGGACAACCAGUUUGUCCACUUAAGGGCUGAAAGCAGGAAGAGAAGAGAGUACAAAACCUUAAAGAGGGCCCCAGAAAGCCUCUGCUAGGCCAGCACAGACAGAGCAGUUUGCCCUCCAGCUCCAGAACCGUGAGUGGAUACUUUUCUCUGUUCUUGUUCUUAGUUCCUGCUACAACUAAGGAGUUCAGGUCUUCCACAAAAGGGAGUUGCAAUGAAAUCGGAUUGGGACCAUUGAGUCUUAAAUAGCCAGGGAUCUGCAUAUUAGGCUGUCACUUCAGGUCAGGACUGGGCAGAGGAGCAGGGAGCAUUAAUAGCUAGCUGCCUUUGUGGUCCCCUGUCCCCUAGCAUCUCCUCUGCCAACUGUCUUCCAUCAUGAAGUUGUGACUUUCUAACAUAAAAGUAAUUUGUCUUUAGGAUGCCUUCCAUACAACACAAAUACUCAGGGGAGAUAAGUAUUUCACAGAAUGAUAGAAUCAUGGAAUUUCAGAGCUGAAGGGGAACAAAUUCUAUUCAGUAUUCUUCCAGAGCAGAAAUCCUCAAACAUUUGAGUCAGAAUUCUACAUUAGAAUCACGUGGGGGCUUCUUAAAAUGGUGGCCUCCUGGGCCCACACUCGGAGUCUGAUUCAGUAGGUCUUGUGGGUCCCCAGAAUAUGCCCCUUUAAGAAUCCUCCCCGGGUCAUUCAUGCUGAUGCAGGUGGGCUAUGCUUUGAGAAAGCCUGUUGUAUAAUAGCCAUAGCAGGUUGGUUGCCUCUACUGUUGAGGAGCUCACUGCUUCAGGAGGCAGCCUAUUCCAUUUCAGAACAGCUCUGACUUUACGAAAGUUCUUCCUUAUGUGCAGCUGGAAUCUGCCUCGGUAUGAAUUCCACCCGCUGGUCCUGAUUCUAUCCACCAUGGCUAUGCAGAGGAAGUUCAAUUCCUCCAGCCUCCAAUAGGCAGAGGGACUUGAGAAUUAUGCAACCGUGAGAAUUACGCAACCUUUCAAAGGUGCGUUGGAAGGGAGCACCUACGUCUCUGAGUUGGCUGGGCCUUUAGAAACUCAUUUCCCUUCUCUCUGGGGUGGAUGCCUCCUUCCAAAUCCAGGAGAGUGGUCCCCAAAUCAGAGGGCAGAAUCCCUGGGGAAGAGGAAAGGAGUCCUUGGGCAAGUGAAGGGUCUGUGAAAACUGGUUCCUAUGAUCAGAGGAUGGCAGGGGGCUGAGCAGAUGCCUGGCCAGACAUCGUGGUGGUGAGUUCCAGGACCUGGAUUCCAGCCCCCGUUCUACCUCUAACCCUCCAACAGAUUCUGAGCAAGUCCCUGCCCCCUUGGGCCUCAGUUUUCACCUCUACACAACCAUCCUUUCUGGUCUUCCCAUUCUGAAAUCCCAUUUUUAAAGCCUGGCUCUCUCUGACCUGCCUCCUCUUUGCUUCUCUGGCAAGUUUUCUGGAGAGGGUGGCAGGAGAGGAGGUGUCCAUGUUCUUAGGAAAAAAUCCUGAGCCCAAGGCUGAGGAGGAGCACAGUUGCUCACCCAGCAGAGCAGCUCUUGUUGCAGUGGGGCGGGGCGGGAGUCAUGAAGAGUGGCGGGUAGGCCUCACAGUCCUCACCUCUGCUCUGAAGCAAGGUGGCUAGGACUGAACCCGUGACGCCUGUGCUCCCCAGGCUGGAGGCACCCUCCCUGUGACGGGCUCUGUCUGAGAGGGGAGCCCUUCAGGUUUGUGGGCUCUUUGAGGCCAAGGCCUUGCUGAGGGAGACAGAGAACAGGACUACAAGGAGGGCCUGUGGAUUGUCAAAGGUCCUUAUUCUGCAGCCCAUCCUGGGUCUCCACCUUACUCGUCUCCUUCUUUUGUCAGGACAUAUCUCAGAUUUGAGGCAAAGGAAACUCUGUGAGCACUGACUCCCUGUGGGUUCUUGGAAAAUUUUUCUCAGCAACCUGGGCAUCCAUUUCCUCAUCUGUCUAAAGGGCUAACAAUGUCCAUAAACACAGUCUGUAAACUGUAACAUGCCUGGAAGACGCAGCUGCUGUUAUUCUGUUUGUUCUCAGGUUAGUGUUCACAGAAGUAAGAAAUCUCAGUCAAGAUGGAUUCUGUCCUAAAGUGGUUUGGCAAAGAUGAUGACAAAGAGAAGGAGCAGCAGAAAGAGAAGGGGAAGCUGCAGAGUAAGCCAUGUGAGGAGCAGCAGAAGAAGGUGGAGCAGAUGGAGGACAAAGGCAGCGAGAGUGACAGCAGCAGCAGCGAAGAGGAGCCGGCACAAGUUCCAAAAAGAGGCACCAGACUGUGGUCUUGGACUCGCAGCAUGCCAAGAGCACCAGGGAAACCGAGUCCUGAAGUGGGAAGGGACUUGUCAGAGGUCAUGUUGAGAGAGCAGAGCGGGAUUGGUCCCCAGAGCUGCUAAAUCCCAGGGCAGAAAUGACCUCAUUGGGGAGGCUCUCACGGAAGGCUGGGUGUCACCCCAGGGUGGCCAGAGGGAGUGCCCAGUGUCAGACAGGUGUCAGAGCAGGGCCAGACCUCAGACAAGGGUCUCUUGACUCCUAGCACAGUGCUCCCUCCACUGCCCUAAGCAGCCUGAGUUCCCAGCCUUGAGCUGGGCUUUAUGGAGGAGACAAGGGGAGAAGGUGCCACCUCCAUCUCCAGAAGGGAGCCCGGGUCUCUCUGGAGAAGCCUCUAUUCCUGCAAAGCAGAGCUGUAGAAUUCUGUGCGGGAAGGGAGGGAUUGGCGUGGGCUGUGGGGAGAUGGAAAGUUCUCUGGCUGCAUCCUGAAAAAUCUAUGGGAGAGGGCCAGAGGCAGGGAGGGAGGAGGGCGUUGCACCUGGAGUGGAGAGGGAAAUGAAACAGCAGGGAAUGGCGAUUGAACUCUGGAGAAAUUCAGGGUCUGAAGAAGCCGAGUCUGAGGGGAGAGCUUGGGACCCCCAUGACCUCCCUAGGGACUCCCACGUGCUCUGGCCAUGCAGCCCCUGCCACUUCCCUCUCCCUCGUCUCUUUGGCAAGGUCUGACUUUUCUUCUCCUUGUCACACAGAACCAGGAGAUGAUCACCAAGAAAAAGAAGAAGAAAUGCUUCAAUUAACCGCAGGAGCAGCUGAUAUGGGAGCCUGGAGCAGGAGCACAGGAGAGAUUGGAGAAAGGGCAGUCAGGGGAGAGGGAGUGAAGGAGGAAUGUUACAGAAUGAAACUGUCCACGUACGCUA